GACAGAGGCCUCAAGCGUUAGGCGGAAUCACUGGGCUUAAAGGGCGCGUAGGCGGGCCAUAAAGUCAGGGGUGAAAUCCUCCAGCUUAACUGGAGAACUGCCUUUGAUACUGAUGGUCUCGAGUAAGGUAGGGGCAUGCGGAACUGAUGGUGGAGCGGUGAAAUGUGUUGAUAUCAUCAGGAACUCCGGUGGCGAAGGCGGCAUGCUGGACCACAACUGACGCUGAGGCGCGAAAGCUAGGGGAGCAAACAGG
rnacentral:rRNA from 1 species